rnacentral:lncRNA from 1 species
UCAAAGGACCCCUCGAUCAGUGGUCCGAUCCGCCCUUCGAAUAUUGGGACGCACGCAGCACGAGCAGCCGGCAAGAUAGCAUCGACGAGUGCCUCGCAGUCGAAUUAUCCGAGUCUCCACAGUACUUAUUUCACUUUCCAAAGUACAAUAGGAUUCCACGUAACUGCUCUGAAGAACUCGGCUACGUAUGCAAGAAAAGCCAUCCACCGAAGACUCAUGGUUUUACCUGCG